rnacentral:rRNA from 1 species
UACAGAGGUCCCAAGCGUUGUUCGGAUUCACUGGGCGUAAAGGGUGCGUAGGCGGUUGGGUGAGUCUGAUGUGAAAUCCCGGAGCUUAACUCCGGAACUGCAUCGGAUACUCUCCAGCUAGAGGAUUGGAGGGGGGACUGGAAUUCUCGGUGUAGCAGUGAAUGCGUAGAUAUCGAGAGGAACACCGGUGGCGAAGGCGAGUCCCUGGACAAUUCCUGACGCUGAGGCACGAAGGCCAGGGGAGCAAACGGG